GGUUUUGAGUGUUCAAGAAGGGGUUUUGAUUCCAAGGCCAGAGACUGAGCUGAUUGUGGACCUUGUCGAUGAUGCUAUUAAGGAGAAUGGGGAAUUGAGGGAAGGAUUGUGGGCUGAUUUGGGGACUGGAAGUGGUGCACUUGCUAUUGGGAUUGCAAGGAUUUUGGGUACUUCUGGUAGAGUUGUUGCUACUGAUUUAAGCCCUGUUGCUACUGCAGUUGCAUCUUAUAAUGUGCAGAGGUAUGAUUUGGAGGAAAAAGUGCAUGUAAAGCAAGGAUCUUGGUUUGAACCUUUGAGAGAUAAUGAAGGAGAAUUUGUGGGACUGGUCAGUAAUCCACCAUAUAUUCCAAGCAAAGAUAUUGGUGGACUACAAGCUGAAGUUGGCAGACAUGAACCUAGACUGGCGUUAGACGGUGGAGCAAGUGGUAUGAAUGACCUUAUCCAUCUCUGUGAUGGAGCUGUUUCAAUGUUGAGACCUGGCGGUUUCUUUGCGUUUGAGACAAAUGGUGAUGAACAGAGCAAAUUCCUAGUCCACUACAUCGAGACUAAGAAGCAAGGUAACUUCUCUAAAGUGAAGAUGGUAUCAGAUUUUGCCGGCAUCAAGAGAUUUAUAACAGGAUUUAGAGGAAGAUGAUCUGUGACAUUAGCCAAAGAAAUCAUACAAGGGAAUGAAUGUGGAAGAACCAGGGGUUUGGGGGCUACAGAUUCUGUUCUCUUGGGUUUGAACAAUUCAG
rnacentral:misc_RNA from 1 species